rnacentral:rRNA from 1 species
AGCAGUCGCCGCGGGGAAUACGAAGGGUGCAAGCGUUACUCGGAAUUACUGGGCGUAAAGCGUGCGUAGGUGGUGGUUUAAGUCCGUUGUGAAAGCCCUGGGCUCAACCUGGGAAUUGCAGUGGAUACUGGGUCACUAGAGUGUGGUAGAGGAUAGUGGAAUUUCCGGUGUAGCAGUGAAAUGCGUAGAGAUCGGAAGGAACAUCUGUGGCGAAGGCGACUAUCUGGGCCAACACUGACACUGAGGCACGAAAGCGUGGGGAGCAAACAGGAUUAGAUACCCCAGUAGUCCCUGUCUCUUAUA